AGAUAGGGAGAAGGAGCCUGUGAGAGCAGAAGCACCAUGGUGAUUGGGCAGUGGGGAUUCCCUAUGCAGAUAAGGAGGAGGAGCCUGUGAUGGUUAAGGUCAGUUGGAAUGCAACUGUUACUGGUUGCAAGAUAUUCUUGAUUGUAGAGGAGAGGAAUCUCUCUAUAUAAAAGGAUAGCAGGCAGGGGUCUGCAAAAAGAUGGGUCAUGAGGGAGGAAAGAGCCCCUUCAGGAAAACUCAUAGUGCUUGUGGAGGAGUCGAUGGGGAAUCCAGCUCAAUCUAAGAUAUAUCCAAUUGAAUGGUUGAGUGUGUCCCAGCUUAUUAUGUCGAAGAUUCCUUCUAUGGUGGCACAUUGCCUGUAGUGUGAAAGACAAGAUGAAGAGAGACUCAUUCCAUGAAUCUGUCUGCAGCUGGUCUUAUUUUAAAAACAAAACAGUGUGGCUGGCACUCUUUCAUGGGUACUAAUCAUCUUGUGGCACAACAUAGACAAGCCUUUCAGGGUUUGAAAUUUGAAUCUUCUCCAGAGUGAACUUUUCCAGUUGGCAGAACAGUUUGCUGUUGAAUUAUCUCCCAAGCUAGUGCAUACACAUUUUUAUUGCACAUGUUCAUUCUUCACCAUUACUCCUAUUACCCUCUUUUCAACUUGGCAUCUUGUAUUUUCAUGGGAAAGCAUCUUAU